AGUUUGCGUACACUGGGGUCUGUCGC
rnacentral:piRNA from 1 species